rnacentral:rRNA from 1 species
UUGCACGCUGGCGGCAUGCCUUACCCCUGCAAGUCGCACGGUAACAGGUCUUCGGAUGCUGACGAGUGGCGAACGGGUGAGUAAUACAUCGGAACGUGCCCAGACGUGGGGGAUAACGAGGCGAAAGCUUUGCUAAUACCGCAUACGAUCUAAGGAUGAAAGCAGGGGACCGCCAGGCCUUGCGCGUUUGGAGCGGCCGAUGGCAGAUUAGGUAGUUGGUGGGAUAAAAGCUUACCAAGCCGACGAUCUGUAGCUGGUCUGAGAGGACGACCAGCCACACUGGGACUGAGACACGGCCCAGACUCCUACGGGAGGCAGCAGUGGGGAAUUUUGGACAAUGGGCGAAAGCCUGAUCCAGCAAUGCCGCGUGCAGGAUGAAGGCCUUCGGGUUGUAAACUGCUUUUGUACGGAACGAAAAGGCUCUGGCUAAUACCUGGGGCACAUGACGGUACCGGAAGAAUAAGCACCGGCUAACUACGUG